AUAGCGACCUUUGUCGUAAAGCGUCAAAAUGAUCGAGAUGUGCCGAGGUUAUACCGUUCUAAAUAAUGACAUUCAGUAACCUGAUAUCGAUUGUUCAAUAUAUUGAGCAUAAAUCGAGUCAAGUUGUUUCAAAUACUGUUUUUAGAGAUUAGGCGAUUGGAACGUGUGAUAUAUUUGUUUACACUCGUGAAUUUCUUACAACUCUUAGAAUCUGUAAAUGAACGGAGUCAUAUAUUCUUGAAGUAUUAAACACAAUAUUUACAUUUCUAGUUUCGUUUUACAUUUGUUGAUUAUGUGAUAAUGGCGGAGAAAGGAUCAGAUUUAUUAUAUGACUUUUGCUGCAAUGUGUGUGAAGAGAAAAAUGUCAACAAGGAAGCCAUGUUUUACUGUCAGAAGUGUUCAAAAGGCCUUUGUGAAGACUGUGAAGGGCUCCACAAAAUGUUUUAUUCAUUGCACAUCGCUUAUGAGAAAGGAGAGAUUGAUAAAUGGCCUGCUAGAACAAAAUCAUUUGAUGAUUUGCAAUUUUGUCAACAUCAUUCUGAUCGUCUGAUAGAGAUGUUUUGUGAAGAUCACGGCAAAUUAUGUUGCGCCAUGUGUCUCUUCCAUGAACACAGGCCCUGUGUCAAGCUGGUGCUGAUAACAGAAAAAAUACAAGCUGUUUAUGAUUCGGGGGACUUUCAUCAAAUUUCUGCAAGUAUCAACGAUGCCCAGCAAAAGCUUGAAACUGCAAUUGAUGAUACACAGGAAUUUCUGAAGCAACUUCAGGAUUCGUAUGAGAAAGCUUCUGAAGAAAUAAAAGGGCUUCGUCAGAAAAUAAACGACAUACUAGAUGAAUUGGAGAGAAAAACAGUGCAUUCGUUAGAUUACAUGCUGCAAAAAUUGAAACAUUCUUUACAAUCAAAUGAGGAGAAGUGUUUAAAGGCUACGGACGGUUUCAAGAAAAUAAGCGAUGCAAUUAAUAAAAUUAAAAAGGAUCCAAAGGAUCUGUCAUUUAUAGCGUACCAGAAAGCAUUGGAAAUGGUUUCACAAGCUGAGAAUCUGUUAAAGACAUUGAUUGUUCACAGGGGCUCUGUCGUAACGUUCAAUAGCAACCCGAGUAUUUAUGGAACACUAUCAGGUUUCUCAUCUCUUGGAAAUAUUGAAUGCGCUGAAAUUCAGCCGGAAAAGAGCAAACACAGGACACUCGAGUUUACGACUAAAUCACUUUACAAUAUUGGAAUAGCAUCUGACAAAUAUGAAGGUGACAUCAGAGGCAUAUGUGAGCUACCUGGUGGAGACAUUCUAAUCGCUGACAAAGAGAACAAGAGGGUGAAGUUGAUUGAUGCUAUGUACAAAGUUGUCGCUCACCUUGACAUGCCUACUUCGCCUUUGGACAUGUGUAGUAUCAGUCCUACUGAGGUCGCUGUAACAGUUUCAGACGGCUGUAACACCGAAACUGUCCAGUUCCUCAAGGUCAACAACAGGCAGAUAGUUAAAGAAAGAGUACUUAAGUUCCCACAUCACUGUAAUGGUAUUUCUCGUUAUAAAGAACAUCUGUUUAUUGCAUCACACAAUACCUUAUAUAAGUACACAAUGGACGGUCAGCUGGUGAAGAAGAUCUAUGAAGACACUUCAUAUAAUUACUCUGUGCACAAGUGCGCAGUAAGUCCCGAUGGAUCACGGCUGUAUGUAACCAAUUGGGCGUACAAUAAGCUCCUAACCCUGUCUAUGGAUGGGACUGUCCUGUCAUCUUUGGACGAUCCCGCACUUCGUGGGCGUAGAGGUAUACACGUGUCAGAGACAGGACUGCUGCUGAUAUGUGGCAAAACAUCAAACAACGUAGUCCAGGUGGAUGAUGAUGGGGGAGUGGUGACGCUGGCUUCCAAUGAGGAUGGUCUGGAUAGACCAGAGUCUGUAUACUACAGUGCGAGUACUGGCAGGCUAAUUGUUGGAAAUCAGAAUGGGAAUAUAUUGGUUGCCGAAAUAAAAUGUUAAAAUAGUGGUAAUUUGUGCACAUUAACAAGCUAUUAAGCAUCAUGAAAAAGCUGAGAACGCAUGUUGCUGGUAAAGAGUAUAAUUAAUUUUGCUUCUGAGUCAAGGUUAACUCGGCAAACUUACGGUUUGUUAGUUGUUAAAAUUCUGAAAAUGGCAAUGUAUGAUGAUGUGGAUGCCUGUUAACAGCUUUUCUUGAGAGAUUAAAACAUUUUAGUGUGCGAGAAUGUAAAUUAUCAAUGCACCCGUUCCUAUGUACCGCAUAUUUGACCAUGCAAUAUUAAAGAGAUGUUUAAAUAAAGUAAAAUGUCUAUAAACUCUGUACAAUAAAACACAGAAUUUGAAAUAUAAGUAUGAUAUUUGAAAUAAAGAUAAUACAACUAGUACAUAUGUAGUUUAAGGUUGAAAUCGGAUGAAAAGAAAUGCUUAGAAAACAUUCACUGCGUCGAAUGGUAUAGCUAUUAUGCAGAUAAUUGUAUUCGACACUUAUCUGGACACGUAUUCACGAGACUUGAAGAUAAAAUUUCAGGCAUUCCUUAAUUGAAUAAAAUUUCCUCAAUUCCUAGCAAUUUUUAUAGCAUAACAUGUUUUAAACAACUACAUGUUUCUAAUAUAAUUACUUUUAUAUAAAAAAGAAAACUAUUUUGCUAUUUGCUCUUGUGUGUACAUAUUAUUGUAAGAGUUCUCUUGAGAGCUUUGGGAAUACCAGUCCUUGUAUCCUAAGUAUCUCACAUAUAUUGCAUUGUCUUUAUUUUUAAAAACAGACAACAAUGAGAACGAUUAAACGAAUUCAAUUGUUGUUUUGUUAAUGGAAGCAUGAUGAUGGGAACAUGUGGUAAAAAAUUUAUUUUUCAAAAAAUGGUAUAUAUUUAUACAUGUACAUAUUAUACUACUUUAUGUAUUUAUUGUUAUACUAUGUAAUAAUUGUAAUCUUGUUCAUGUACAAGUUUAUUGAAUAUGUAGCAUUCAGAAUAGUAACAGAUGCAUGACACAAAUUCGACCCGUAAGCGUGCGGCUGUGCUAUCUGUGUUACGUUGGACAGAAUCACACGAAUUAAUGAAUUUACAGAGAAUAUUAUGCAUACCUGCAUCCGAUCUAUAAAGAAACAUAAAUUAAUUGAAUUUAUAGUCUUUAUUAUAAAGACUUAACAUUGAUUUAUUAUAUUGACACGUUACUUUGCUUCAUGUUCUGUUAAACGUACCGCAUGUUAUAAUUUCACAAAGUAAUGCUCUUUCUUUUAUUUUAUGGACUAAUAACUUUAGAAGAAUAAGAAAUAUUAUAAAAUCUCCAAAUGAGGUAAGACACGCCUUUUGGCGGUCACACAUUGACAAAUCAUAAAUGAAACCGUAGAAAAAAUUCACAAUUGUUACGAUUUGGUAUAUUUUAUCAUAUUCAAAACCUAAUGCUACAUUGUGUUGAUUGCUGUAUUGUUGUGUGCGUGCAUAUUAGUUUGGUAAGAAAUUAAUUAAACUAACAAUCACGAA